rnacentral:lncRNA from 1 species
AUAAAUUGGCCAAAAGUGGGUUUAAUGCAGCCCUUGCCUGCAGUGCAGUACAAAGCGUGCAGGCUCUCUUGUAUAAACCGUAAUAGAAAAUGACAGCAGAACACAGAGAAUAUUUACCUGUAGAAACCAUACAAACACCAGGAGAACACUAGUGGAACAUACACAAAGCACACCACCACCAAUGUUUGUCAGACAGUAAAAACGAGUAUCCAAAGCUUUUGUAAAAACCCAUUUGAUAUCAAAAGUCUCAAUGUCAGCAGCAGCAUUAAACUGAACCCAACUAAUGUCAUCAGUGGAGUGGUUGUGACAUUCCCAGUAAAUCAAAGAGUGAGGAAUUGGUAUGAAACAACACAGCUGAGAGUGGCGCAUCCUGAGCUGCUGCACAUCUUAAAACCUCAUACAGAAAAAUAAGUAACACUAAGCAGCAUGAAAGCAUAACCAACUUACAGGCUGGGAUCUGAAAUGUAAACUUAGGGUUUAUUUCACAAGGUUUACAUUCCAAACGGAAGCUAGAAAAGGAAGAAACGACAUUUUUAGGGAAGAGAGAAAAGCAACACGGGCAGAUGCAUCCCACUGCCCUGUGCAAAGCCAAGCCUGAGCGAGGAGAACCACAGACCCACACCUGCCAUUCAGAUUAGGUACAAAUACAUGGCACAACUGCUCAAAAUGACACCCACUCACCUUCACAGGGUCCAAAAACCACCACAGGCAGCUGAAAGCUGGCGAUAUUGUAGCUGAUAUAUUCAGGAGGAAGAGGAAAGACUCUCAGAGGGAGAUGGAAGAACGAGAAUAAAGCUGCGUGACAGGGGGUAUGAUCUGGGAGUUCAUCACUGGGGAAGGACACAAAGCAUCGAGCAGGAAGAGCACCAGCAGUGCUGUCGUGGAGCUCCGACACACCAGCGCCUCCAAUGAGCCCCCACUCCACAGGGAAACGCUGUAACUGGUGGCUUCAGAACGAGUUUGUAAGUCUCUGUAACAAACCCCCACCUGACAGAAUGGGAAAGGUCUCAAACUCAAGGUAUUUUCAAGUACUAUGGAUUAACUUCAACAAUUGGUACCAGAGGAGUCACCGAACAAAGAAUGUGACCCUUUGAGUUAGCUGACUGCGGCUUUACUGAGGUCAGCAGCACCUCCUUCACCCGCUCUGCAAACACUGAAUGUGCAAGGACUGCAGAGGCAGCACGUCCCUGAAUCCACCUCAGCACAUUGUCCUUUAGCUCUGACUUUGGGGAAGAAACAGUAAAUUCUUUUUAACCCCCCCCUCUACCCCCCCCCCCAACACUUUACAUUCAUAUUAUGUUACAGACUUUAUGCAGCAGGUUUGGUAACUACCACUAGGUUGUGCUUUCAGUCCACACCAGCACAGGGAGCUAACAACUACAGCUAGUCUAGAGUCUGCUGGUUUGCUCCAGGAAGUUAUUCAUCCCUGCAGC